GACAGAGGGUGCAAACGUUGUUCGGAAUUACUGGGCGUAAAGCGCGUGUAGGCUGCUUGGAAAGUCGGAUGUGAAAGCCCUGGGCUUAACCCAGGAAGUGCACUCGAAACUUCCAGCUCGAGUCCUGGAGAGGGUGGCGGAAUUCUCGGUGUAGAGGUGAAAUUCGUAGAUACGAGAGGAACACCGGUGGCGAAGGCGGCUACCUGGACAGUGAC
rnacentral:rRNA from 1 species